GUCGACGGUAACAUGAGAGCUUGCUCUUGAUGACGAGUGGCGCACGGGUGCGUAACGCGUAUGCAACCUACCCUUUACUGGGGGAUAGCCCGGAGAAAUUCGGAUUAAUACCCCAUGGUAUUAUCAGAUGGCAUCUGAAGAUAAUUAAAGAUUCAUUGGUAAAGGAUGGGCAUGCGUGACAUUAGUUAGUUGGUAAGGUAACGGCUUACCAAGACGAUGAUGUCUAGGGGUUCUGAGAGGAAGGUCCCCCACACUGGUACUGAGACACGGACCAGACUCCUACGGGAGGCAGCAGUAGGGAAUAUUGGGCAAUGGAGGCAACUCUGACCCAGCCAUGCCGCGUGCAGGAAGACAGCUUUCUGAGUUGUAAACUGCUUUUAUAUAGGAACAAAGAGGCCAUGCGUGGCAAGUUGCGUGUACUAUAUGAAUAAGCACCGGCUAACUCCGUG
rnacentral:rRNA from 1 species